UACAGAGAGUGCAAGCGUUAAUCGGAAUUACUGGGCGUAAAGCGCACGUAGGUGGAUUCUUAAGUCGAUUGUGAAAGCCCCGGGCUUAACCUGGGAAUUGCAUUCGAUACUGGGUGUCUAGAGUAUAGUAGAGGGAAGUGGAAUUUCAGGUGUAGCGGUGAAAUGCGUAGAUAUCUGAAGGAACACCAGUGGCGAAAGCGGCUUCCUGGACUAAUACUGACACUGAGGUGCGAAAGCGUGGGGAGCAAACAGG
rnacentral:rRNA from 1 species